AAAACGGGAAAAAAAUGUGUCUAUAUAUAUGUCUAUAUAUGUCUAUAUAUAUAUAUAUAUAUAUAUACACAUAUAAGGAAGAGGUAUAUCACAGUUAUGCAAACUGAGAGGGGAAGAGAGGUGCUUCGGAGACAGAACGCUUCCCUUGCUGUCAUGCACCAGAGUGGUGUUUUGCUAGAAAAGUCUCCGUGACGGGACUGAGGUGAAGAGAGCAGAGGGGCGCUUCGCUUUACCUCUUGAGGCACCGUAACUUUUAAGUCCUCCAAGUUGUGGUCGGCGCCAUCAUGACGCCAGGGACUGCGAGGUUUUGUUGUUUAUUUUAUUUUAAUGCUUUCCAGUCUCGCCUGGGCGACCACGCUACAGUUAACAAGCGGCCAACUAGUUCACUCGCUACCUCUUUCGGCAAUAGAUGAUUAGUGAUUUCUCCAUAUUGUCUUGUGACCUGAGACACCAUUACCACUAUCAAACUUAAAAAGAGAUUAAAGGUGCUAAAUACAGUUGCAAGUCAGGAAGAUUUAAGGCAAAACAGAUAUAAUGCAUGAAAAAACAUACUAUAACACCCACUACAAACAUUCACUGAGGAUUUAUGUUCCAAAUAUGGGCAUCUUGGGAGAGUAAGGAAUUGUUGUGGUGGCUUUGUCAGCCAGAUUUCAGAAGCAAGACAAGUGCUAGAAGCCGAAGUGGUAUGAAGUAAUACCUGAUGUAUGCAAGUGCAGGAACUGCUGUGUAAUGAUGGGGAUGCUACGCCAGCAUCAUCCUCAAGAACAGAUUCUUCUCUAGGAUUGGAAAAUUGCAUCUUAAAGGUUUGGGACACAUCUGGACUAAUCCAUCAGGAAAAAUGUCUUUGGAAUUAUAAUGACAGUGAUCUUCAAGAGCAAACCAUCAUAUGUGUAGGUAAAG